GUAGUUGGGCACCACGCAGGGGGAUGCUCAAAGCUGCAGAGGUGCAUGGACAGCCCCCUCCUGCCCUGCCCUGGGGACGCACAGCCUGACUCACACAGUGCUGGGCAGGCCUCCACCUCAGCAGAAAGAGUGACCGGGCCAGCUCAGAGAGCACCCAGGAAUGUGGCACCUCCCAGGGCGGUGGGAACCGAGCCAGGCUGUGCCACCCUGGGCAUGGCAGGGCAGAGCCAAGGGCAGAGUGGGUGCUGCAGUGCAGCAACACCCGCUGGCCACACACAGAGCCCAUCAGCACCAGCUUUCCCUGGGGAGGGCACAAGUGGGGGGGUCUGUCCCCACUGCCCACCCUGCGCAGGGACAAUGGCAGUGUCAUUGCUCCCGGCUGCUCCCACAGCUCCACCAGCUGCUGGCAAUGUGUAGUGCUGCAUGCAGGCAGCUCACACCGCACACACAGACACGUGUGCGCAUGGUUCAUUGGGCACACAGCACAUACCCAGAUCGGGCUGUGCACACGCAUGUGUGGGCGUACAGAGCGUGGCUUGCACGCUCACACACGUGCCCAGAUGGCACUGCACAUACACACCCGUGCCAGCAGCCUGCCUGCACAGCAUGACACAGCAAUCCUGCCACCAGCACCUGGUGCUACAGGGGAUGCCCCAGCACUGCCAUGCCCUUGCUUGGUGUCCUGCAUACGGUGCAGCAGCAGCUCCUGGGACAGCACAGCUGCAGAGCUGGGAGGCUUCGGUGAGAAGAGCUGGGGCCAGAGCUGUCACUGCAGGACUUGGGGCACAGUCAGAGCUGAACUGCGGCCAAGGAUGGAGUGUGAGGUGAGAGGCAGCUCCAGCACAGCGUGACGGGCACUCAGGCACCCAUCCUGGCUUCCCUCAUCGUCUCCACUCCCCAUCCUCAGCAAUGGGACCCUCUGGCACCCCAGAAUGGGGAGCUGGUAACCACCAGCUGGUCUCAGCCCCCAUCCAUAGAGCCAGGCUUGGGCAGAACGAGGCUAUGGACCAUGUCCGGUCACAGGACGUCCCUCAGGAGCCAGCAAUUGUUCCUGGUGGCAGAACAAUGCCCGGAGAGCUGCCAGGGCACCACGGGCUGCUCCACACCGCCUGGCCCCGGAGCCUCCUCCACCUGCCCUGCAGUGCCCAGCCUCAAGUAGGGUCCCCGGCCCCACUGCCCACCUGGCCCCAUCCUCAUCCCUGGCAGUGCUGCAGCACAUCAUGAUACAGCUCAGCUCUCCGGGUUGCUCAGAGCCCAAAGCAAAGCAGCCGACCCUUAUCCCCCACCUCCUUGCUCCCUGCAUGCUGUGUCCAACAGCACCAGCCCCUGGAGGGAGGGACGUGGGGGUCACGCUCGGCCGAAGCCGUGGCAGGGACACGGUCAUUGGCACCAGCCUCUGCCCUGGGGAGGAUUUAAAGCCCUGCCUGUACUCGACACAGCCCCAAAACUGCCACCCCUGCAUCAUGAGGGUCCUGUCGCUGCUGCUGCUACUGGCGUUCUGCUGCCUCUGGGCCCGGCUGGUGGCUGUAGGGCUCACCUAGCCUGUUUGGACCUGGACCAAGGACCCCACUUGUGCAGUCUCAUGUCAGAAAGUCAGCCAGACAUGGACUCAUCCAUCGACUGCAGAGCGAGCACCCAUCAUCUCCCAUCCCAAAUCCACCCCUCCACCCUCAGCUCACAACUGGGUGUGGGGAUCUCUGUGCUUCUUCCUUGCUAUUAAAGCCCAUCCGCAAUUA